rnacentral:lncRNA from 10 species
CUGUUAAGGUGAUCACCAAGUUCACUUCACAUCCGUUCCAUGCACAUUCUGUUUCCCUCGUUGGUGCACACAGUCUUCAUUAUAAGGAAAAUCCACUCUGUGCCUACCGCAAGAAUAGGAAUCAAUUCUUAAUGCUGAAAUAAUUUCAACUAACAUGAAGUACACUGCUUGGAUACUGUAGUUUGAUUUGCUUGGGUGGUUCUGUCUUCCUACAUUCAUUGUGAAAGAAAUCUCUUAGACCACCCAGCAAUCAUGUUCCCGUAUUUACAAAAUAUUUUUUACAUAAAAGAAAUUGCACAGGACUAAAACAACCAAAUUUUGUAAUAUGUGGACCAGAUUCAAACCAACUAUAAGAAGACAUUUUGGAGACAACUGGGGAAAAAUCAAACACAUUAAGGAAUUAUUACUUUUCUUAAGAGUGAUAGUGGACUUGCGGUCAUGUUAAAUUUAAGUCAUUAUGUAUUAGGGUCAAUACUGAAAUGUUUAUAGGUGAAAUGAUUUGAGGUCUGGGAUUACCUAAAAUAUUCCAGAAAAUAGGAGGAAUAGAUGAAACAAGAAUGGUAAAAUGCUGAUGGUAGUUGAAGGUGGGUUAUGGCACAGGGGGG